UACAGAGGCCCAAACGUUAUUCGGAAUUACUGGGCUUAAAGAGUUCGUAGGCGGCAUGAAAAGUAGGGUGUGAAAGCCCUCGGCUUAACCGAGGAAUUGCGCUCUAAACUGUCGUGCUCGAGGAACCUAGAGGUGAGCAGAACAGAUGGUGGAGCGGUGAAAUGCGUUGAUAUCAGGAGGAACACCGGUGGCGAAGGCGGGUCUCUGGGCCGAUAUUGACGCUGAGGAGCGAAAGCGUGGGGAGCGAACAGG
rnacentral:rRNA from 1 species